ACUGUACGGUAAUUCAAAUAUAUAAAAACAUUUCGGCGGUAAAUAAAAGUAAAUAUUGGGAAUCACAUCAUUAUAUUUCCAAAUAUACAGUUGUGUCAUCAUCCAAAAAAUCCCAGAAAAUAUAAUUUAUAAAUUGAAGAGAGCAUAUUAUAUAAUAACAGUCGUUAUCAACGAUACAAAAUGAAGUUGUUACCAACAUUGCUGUGCGUUGUGUUAAUGAUCACCAUGGGAGGAUGUGCUGCUCAAGAGCCACCUCCAUAUUUUUCCUGCUAUAACUUUUGCAUAUCAAGAAAAAUUGCUGCUACUCAAUCUUGGGAAGAGAAUUGCAACUGUGGAGAAGAAUUCAGAAAAUACAGAAAUGGGUGAAAAUUAACAAUAGAGUCUUAUAUAGAAACACCACGAUUUUAUUUUUUAAUGUAUUCAGUAAACAGUAAACCCAAUAAAUAUCCAUUUUCUGAGACUA